ACUGUCAUCAUGAGUUGGUGUUUUGGGCCGUGACAAGACCAAGCUAAGAUAUUCUAUUGCUUAAGAGGAUAGGAUAAGAAAAAGUCAAAUCCUCUACAAUGAGGAAGGGGUUACUGUUUAAAAGGUACAGAGGAUGCCUUUCAGUCAAUUCGAAAUCACCACUUAUCUUGAGACAUAGCAUAUGUUAGACGCGGUUCUAUCGAUGGCAACUGGCGCUCCUUAUAAUCCCUGAGGAAUUAUCAUUUAGUUUGUUUGUUAGUAACCGGUCAUUAUCUUAGGCUAGUCUCAAACACCUUCAUACUAUGCACGGGUGUAAGCUUCAAAUAUGUUGAGAUUAUUCUUGAGAUGGUAGCAUCAUGGACUGGCCUCAUUUGUACAUAGCCCAAUUGGUUUAAAAUACCCUAAUCCAAUUUUUACCUCAUACAGAUAGACCUUCCAUUGUGUGAGUAUGGUAGUUUGUUGUUGAAGGAGGAGAAAAUGGAAAUAACUCAUACUCGUGAAAUUGCUUCCCGUUGACUCCUUUCUCUCCAUGUGUUUGUUGAUGAUUGGGUCUUCAUUACUUUUCAGAAUCUACCCCUAUGCAUUCCAUUCUAAUGUAGUCUCUAAUUCCCUAAAUGUCAUUUUAUCUGGACUUACCCAUUCAUAAGUUCCUUAUCUAAAUCUCAAAUUUGGAAUUUUCCACUAUUAUCUUCUAUAGUAGAUCAAAUCUUUAUAUCCUUACCCCAAAACCUUUCCCUCUUAUGGAUAAAAGAAAGGACUUUCCCCUCAUAUCGAAUUUGCCUAAGGGUAAGAAUAAACUAAACAUCUCCGAUUGCAACAUUAAUGUUGGCGACAUAGUUCCAGUCAGUUUUAGUCUUCUAAAAGAUUUAUUGAGCAGAAUGCAAAGAGUAAUUGGUGAUAAUUCAUAAGUUGGGCUCUCUUGUAAGAGUUGUUAUUAUCCUACCAUUCUUAAUGAUUAUUGUUGGGCUGCAAGGGAGAUUCAUGUAAAUGAUAACAUAGCCUCUUUUUUUACAGGUACCCUUUAAUGUUGGUUAGGAAGAACCGAUUGAUGAGGUGAUUUCCUCAUUUUAUAACACUUUCCAGUUGUCUCUAGGCUAACAAACCUUAGGGUGUGGUUUAUCGUGGCUUGCCUUCACGUCCUACAUGAUAUAUAAGAUCCUCGGUGGAAACUCUCUUUGAAAGACGGCCUUAAUAAGCAAACUGACACCCUUCAUCAUUGAGUAGCUCACAUACUCGAGUCUACUAAUACAAAGGAUUGAACUUGAUUCACUGUCGAAUUGAAUUUAUUGGUAAGUGAAACACAAAAACCAAGGUUGAUUUUAAUCUUCUCAUGUACUUUUCUUGUUGUCUCCAUGUUUUAUGAGAUUUUAACUACUUCAUCUUGAAGGGAUAAAGACAAAUUCAAGGUUGUUUUCAUCUUCGUCAGUAGAUCUCGAUCUUUUAAGUCAGGUUAAUGAUGGCUGCCUUCAAGAUUAUAUGAACCUCAACCCUCUACCUGAUGACUUUAGAGUCACUGUGGAUACCAGUGGGUUCGCUAAGGCUAAGAGAAUUGUCAUGAUGUUAUUUUUAUAUCUCAAAAAAAUGUUGUAGUCUCUUUGAGUCUGUAAGAACCAAGUUAUUAAUGAUAGAAUAAAAGGGGUUUGCCCUU